rnacentral:rRNA from 1 species
CACGUAGGCACCAAGCGUUGUCCGGAUUUAUUGGGCGUAAAGAGCUCGUAGGCGGUUCGGUAAGUCGGGUGUGAAAACUUUGGGCUCAACCCAAAGCGUACACUCGAUACUGCCGUGACUAGAGUUCGGUAGGGGAGCGGGGAAUUCCUAGUGUAGCGGUGAAAUGCGCAGAUAUUAGGAGGAACACCGGUGGCGAAGGCGCCGCUCUGGGCCGAAACUGACGCUGAGGAGCGAAAGCGUGGGUAGCAAACAGG